UACGGAGGUGGCAAGCGUUGUUCGGAAUUACUGGGCGUAAAGGGCGCGUAGGCGGCAAGGCAAGUCAGGUGUGAAAGCCCCGAGCUUAACUCGGGAAUUGCAUCUGAAACUGCUGUGCUUGAGUUCUGGAGGGGGUAGUGGAAUUCCAGGUGUAGCGGUGAAAUGCGUAGAUAUCUGGAGGAACACCGGUGGCGAAGGCGGCAUCCUGGACCGGCAUUGACGCUGAGGCGCGAAAGCUAGGGGAGCAAACGGG
rnacentral:rRNA from 1 species